UGCUCUGUGGAUCAGUGGCGAACGGGUGAGUAACACGUGAGCAAUCUGCCCCUGACUCUGGGAUAAGCGCUGGAAACGGCGUCUAAUACCGGAUACGAGCUGCGACCGCAUGGUCAGUAGCUGGAAAGAAUUUCGGUCAGGGAUGAGCUCGCGGCCUAUCAGCUUGUUGGUGAGGUAAUGGCUCACCAAGGCGUCGACGGGUAGCCGGCCUGAGAGGGUGACCGGCCACACUGGGACUGAGACACGGCCCAGACUCCUACGGGAGGCAGCAGUGGGGAAUAUUGCACAAUGGGCGAAAGCCUGAUGCAGCAACGCCGCGUGAGGGAUGACGGCCUUCGGGUUGUAAACCUCUUUUAGCAGGGAAGAAGCGAAAGUGACGGUACCUGCAGAAAAAGCGCCGGCUAACUACGUGCCAGCAGCCGCGGUAAUACGUAGGGCGCAAGCGUUAUCCGGAAUUAUUGGGCGUAAAGAGCUCGUAGGCGGUCUGUCGCGUCUGCUGUGAAAACCCGAGGCUCAACCUCGGGCCUGCAGUGGGUACGGGCAGACUAGAGUGCGGUAGGGGAGAUUGGAAUUCCUGGUGUAGCGGUGGAAUGCGCAGAUAUCAGGAGGAACACCGAUGGCGAAGGCAGAUCUCUGGGCCGUAACUGACGCUGAGGAGCGAAAGGGUGGGGAGCAAACAGGCUUAGAUACCCUGGUAGUCCACCCCGUAAACGUUGGGAACUAGUUGUGGGGUCCAUUCCACGGAUUCCGUGACGCAGCUAACGCAUUAAGUUCCCCGCCUGGGGAGUACGGCCGCAAGGCUAAAACUCAAGGAAUUGACGGGGACCCGCACAAGCGGCGGAGCAUGCGGAUUAAUUCGAUGCAACGCGAAGAACCUUACCAAGGCUUGACAUAUAGAGGAAACGUCUGGAAACAGUCGCCCGCAAGGUCUCUAUACAGGUGUGCAUGGUUGUCGUCAGCUCGUGUCGUGAGAUGUGGUAGUCCGCACG
rnacentral:rRNA from 1 species